CGGUGAUUGCUAGAUAGUAUACUUCAAAAUAAGGUUUCCGUUUUUAUAACGUAGAAAAAACUAUCCUACGGCAAAACUAAACCCUAACCCUAAUACUAAACCUAACCCUAACCCCAACCUAACCCUAACCUAAACCCUAACCUAACCCUAUCUUAUUUUAAAAAUAGAAUAAAAACGGAAAUCUUAUUUUGAAGUAUACUAUCUAGCAAUUGCCUUUGAGGGAUUGUGAAAUCGUGACUCGAAAACUUGAAAAAACACUCGAAAACUUGCAAAUGUGCUCGAAAACCUAAAAAUUCGUCGAAUAUGGAAGAAAUCGUGGAUGUUUUGGACGAUAGCGGUGCUUUGCUGUACAUGGGAAGUGUUUUGUCUGAAUCGUGCGAGGAAUUAGAGAUAUUAAUGGAAUAUUUAUCUCUUGAAGACGAUGAUGGUGAGUGUUGACAUUUUAUAGCAAUAUGCCUUUGACCCUUCGACUGUAAAAAUAUAUCAGUAUAUAGGCGAGAUUUUGAUUAGGUUUUCGUGUUUUAUACUGUUUCAUAAAAGUGAUUGUACCUUUACAAGUUACAACUUCGUAAAAGCUGGGUAAAUGCUCUAUAAUACGGAUUAUUUUUAUUUAAUUCUGCAGAAUAAUUUCCACGCGCUAUUUUAAAUAUAUACGCCAAUUAACAUGUCAACAAAUAUAAAACUGAACCGACCUCGUCUAACCGUUUUGCCAAAAACGAAUAUAUUUUAUGUUGGUCUUAAGAGUUAAGUUACUCUUUGUUUUUGCCAAAUGUGUAAGACUUUUCACUUUUGCUUAAAAUAGCAAUAUGUGAAAUAUGCAUGCUGAAU